rnacentral:rRNA from 1 species
AUUGAACGCUGGCGGCGUGCCUAACACAUGCAAGUCGAGCGGUAACAGGUGUAGCAAUGCAUGCUGACGAGCGGCGAACGGGUGAGUAAUGCUUCGGAAUCUACCCAAUGGUGGGGAAUAACCAGCCGAAAGGUUGGCUAAUACCGCAUACGUCCCACGGGAGAAAGCAGGGGAUCGCAAGACCUUGCGCCAAUGGAUGAGCCGAAGUCGGAUUAGCUAGNGGUAGGGUAACGGCCUACCAAGGCGACGAUCCGUAGCUGGUCUGAGAGGACGACCAGCCACACUGGGACUGAGACACGGCCCAGACUCCUACGGGAGGCAGCAGUGGGGAAUAUUGGACAAUGGGGGAAACCCUGAUCCAGCGACGCCGCGUGUGUGAAGAAGGCCUGCGGGUUGUAAAGCACUUUUAGUGGGGAU